UACAGUUUUGGUCCUAGACUUACUGUUGUCUAUAGCCCUAAUUACACAUGCUAGCAUCCACAUCCCUGUGCCUAAGCCCACCACCUGCUACUUACCAGGUCAGGAGCAGAUAUCAGGCACACACAAGUAGCCCAAAACAUCUAGCCUUUGCCACACCCACACGGAACUCAGCAGUGAUCAACAUUAAGCAAUAAGCCCCUGCUUGACUUAGCUACGGCCUAACCAAGGGUCGGUAAACUCCGUGCCAGCCACCGCGGUUACACGAAGGACCCAAGAACAAACCCCACGGCGUAAAAUGUGACUAAAGACCUUCUCACUUAAUGGGACAAAAACUGUAAUAAAGUCGUAAAACACUUAUAUAUACAGGCUCUGCCCCAAACAACAGAAUAACUUGACCCCACGAAAGCUGGGGUACAAACUAGGAUUAGAUACCCUACUAUGCCCAGCCAUAAACCUCAGCAGUCCCCCCACCAACUGCCCGCCAGAGGAUUACAGGCAAAAGCCUAAAACCCUAAGGACUUGACGGUGCUCCGCACCCACCUAGAGGAGCCUGUCCUAUAAUCGAUACUCCACGAUACACCCGACCCCCUCUUGCACCCAUGCCGCCUAUAUACCGCCGUCACCAGCCUACCUUAUGACAGAUCCUACAGUAGGCAAAAUAUUCAACCACUAACACGUCAGGUCAAGGUGUAGCUAACGAGGGGGACAGAGAUGGGCUACAUUUUCUAAAAUAGAAAAUCACCACAAACAGCAUGAAAACCUGUUAGAAGGCGGAUUUAGCAGUAAAUUUAGGUAAGACUUGCCUAAUUGAAGCCCGCCCCGGAGCGCGUACACACCGCCCGUCACCCUCUUCGAACCACACAUACUAAUACAUAAAAUUUUUCCCCCAAAAAGACGAGGUAAGUCGUAACAUGGUAAGUGUACCGGAAGGUGCACUUGGCUAAAA
rnacentral:ncRNA from 1 species